UGCCGGGGGUCGGGGCCAAGUGCGCGCCUCGCCGAGGACGAAGAGGCUGGCGUGCCCGGUGGCUCGGCUAGCUCCCGGGUCCCGGCCCCGCCUGGAGGAUGCGGCUGUGGGGGAAUGGGAGCGGCCGGACCUCCCAGCCUGACAGUGCAUCAAGAGCUUUGCGGAGCCUACAGCCCGGAUGGGACGACUGAGGCCCUCCCGCUGGCGAGCUGGCCGAGGGCUCGUCCCUCUCCAGCUAAAGCGCCAGCUUACGAUACAGCCAAACUGCCGGCUCUCAUCGGCUGUGGGAGCAGGAGGCCCCCAGGGGUAAAUCCCGGAGCCUCGUCUCUGAAGCCUGGCGCUUGUGUCUCAGAAGAUGGAGUUCCUCUCUUGUGGCCCAGGCUGGAGUGCAAUAGCACCAUCUCGGCUCACUGCAACCUCUGCCUCCCAGGUUCAAGUGAUUCUCCUGCCUUAGCCUCCUGAGUAGCUAGGAUUACAGAUUUAUAGGAGCAUUGUGACUGGACCAAGGACAAAGAAGUUCCCAACCUCCUCAGACCCUCGCUGCUGCCCAGAUGUCUGCCAUGGGGUGGCCAUCAUCGAAUCCACUGAGGGCGCAAAUAGAACAAAAAGGUGAAGAAAAGGUGAAUUCUCUCCUUUCUUGAGCUGGGACAUCCAACUUCUCAGACAUCAGAGCUCCUGGAGGCCUUCAGACUCCGAGACAUUACACCAUUGGCUCACCUGGUCCUCAGGUCUUUGGACUUGGAAUGAAUUACACCAUUGGCUUUCCAGGUCUUCCAGCUUGCAGAUGGCAGAUUGUGGGACUUUUCAGCCUCCAUAACUUUGUCAUCCAAUUCCCAUAAUAAAUCGCCUCUUAUAUCUGUA
rnacentral:lncRNA from 10 species